CUCAAAGGAAUUGACGGGGACCCGCACAAGCGGUGGAGCAUGUGGUUUAAUUCGAUGCAACGCGAAGAACCUUACCACUUCUUGACAUGGAGAUUAGAUCCUUCUUAACAGAAGGGCGCAGUUCGGCUGGAUCUCGCACAGGUGCUGCAUGGCUGUCGUCAGCUCGUGUCGUGAGAUGUUGAGUUAAGUCCCGCAACGAGCGUAACCCUCAUCCUUAGUUGCCAGCGGGUUAAGCCGGGCACUUUAAGGAGACUGCCAGUGGUAAACUGGAGGAAGGUGGGGAUGAUGUCAAGUCAGCACGGCCCUUAUGGGGUGUGCUACACACGUGCUACAAUGGUGACUACAAUAGGUUGCAAUGUCGUAAGGCUGAGCUAAUCCGUAAAAGUCAUCUCAGUUCGGAUUGUCCUCUGCAACUCGGGGCAUGAAGUCGGAAUCGCUAGUAAUCGUGGAUCAGCAUGCCACGGUGA
rnacentral:rRNA from 1 species